rnacentral:rRNA from 1 species
GACGAACGCUGGCGGCGUGCCUAACACAUGCAAGUCGAGCGGGGUUGAAGCGAGGGGUAACUCGAGUUUCUACCUAGCGGCGGACGGGUGAGUAACGCGUGGGCAACCUGCCUCAAGGACUGGGAUAACAGCUCGAAAGGGCUGCUAAUACCGGAUAAGCCUAUGGCCUCGCAUGGGGCCAUGAGCAAAGGGGAAACCUGCCUUGAGAUGGGCCCGCGUCCCAUCAGCUAGUUGGUGGGGUGAAGGCUCACCAAGGCGACGACGGGUAGCCGGCCUGAGAGGGUGACCGGCCACACUGGGACUGAGACACGGCCCAGACUCCUACGGGGGGCAGCAGUGGGGAAUCUUGCACAAUGGGCGAAAGCCUGAUGCAGCGACGCCGCGUGAGCGAAGAAGGCCUUCGGGUUGUAAAGCUCUGUCUGGAGGGACGAAGGAAGUGACGGUACCUCCGGAGGAAGCCACGGCUAACUACGUG